rnacentral:lncRNA from 1 species
AUGAGCAUAAAAUGAAGCAAAAUGAUGAUACUGGAAAUUCAGGCCAAGUCUUGCAAAACAAGUUGUCCUUCAACGAAAGUGGAGCUAGGGAUAACUUUGGACAAGGUAUAAGCAAUUGUGGAGGAUAUUGUAGAGGAUAUAGAGGCAGAAAUAGAGGUAGAUGAGGAACACGUGGACGAAGCAAUCAAUCAUAUAGUAAAGUCCAAACAAGUGAAGAAUAUCAAACAUCAAGUUGUGGACAAGGAGCUCGAGGCAGAGGUAGAUUUCAACAAGGAAAUAAAUCUCAGGUACAAUGUUAUAGUUACAACAAAUAUGGCUAUUAUAGUUACGAGUGUAGAUUAAAUCCCAAGAUGGAGAAG